AGUAGUAUGUCAGAAUAAUGAAAUGAAUUUAGAAUUCAUAUAUUUUACUAAUU
rnacentral:tRNA from 1 species